UACGUAGGGUGCAAGCGUUGUCCGGAAUUAUUGGGCGUAAAGAGCUCGUAGGCGGUUUGUCGCGUCGAAUGUGAAAACCCGGGGCUCAACCCCGGGCCUGCAUUCGAUACGGGCAGACUAGAGUUCGGUAGGGGAGUCUGGAAUUCCUGGUGUAGCGGUGAAAUGCGCAGAUAUCAGGAGGAACACCGGUGGCGAAGGCGGGACUCUGGGCCGAUACUGACGCUGAGGAGCGAAAGCGUGGGGAGCAAACAGC
rnacentral:rRNA from 1 species